AUUGAACGCUGGCGGCAGGCCUAACACAUGCAAGUCGAACGAGUGGCGGACGGGUGAGUAAUGUCUGGGAAACUGCCUGAUGGAGGGGGAUAACUACUGGAAACGGUAGCUAAUACCACAUACCAUAGGAUGUGCACAGAUGGGAUUAGCUAGUAGGUGGGGUAAAGGGUCACCUAGGCGACGAUCCCUGGCUGGUCUGAGAGGAUGACCAGCCACACGUGAACUGGUACACGGUCCAGACUCCUACGGAAGCCAGCAGUGGGGAAGAUUGCACAAUGGGCGGAAGCCUGAUGCAGCCAUGCCGCGUGUAUGAAGAAGGCCUUCGGGUUGUAAAGUACUUUCAGCGGGGAGGCGUUACCCGCAGAAGAAGCACCGGCUAACUCCGUGCCAGCAGCCGCGGUAAUUC
rnacentral:rRNA from 1 species